CCUUCGGGAGCAGAGUGACAGGUGGUGCAUGGUUGUCGUCAGCUCGUGUCGUGAGAUGUUGGGUUAAGUCCCGCAACGAGCGCAACCCUUGAUCUUAGUUGCCAUCAUUAAGUUGGGCACUCUAAGGUGACUGCCGGUGACAAACCGGAGGAAGGUGGGGAUGACGUCAAAUCAUCAUGCCCCUUAUGACCUGGGCUACACACGUGCUACAAUGGACGGUACAAAGAGCUGCAAGACCGCGAGGUGGAGCUAAUCUCAUAAAACCGUUCUCAGUUCGGAUUGUAGGCUGCAACUCGCCUACAUGAAGCUGGAAUCGCUAGUAAUCGCGGAUCAGCAUGCCGCGGUGAAUACGUUCCCGGGCCUUGUACACACCGCCCGUCACACCACGAGAGUUUGUAACACCCGAAGUCGGUGGGGUAACCUUUUUGGAGCCAGCCGCCUAAGGUGGGACAGAUGAUUGGGGUGAAGUCGUAACAAGGUAGCCGUAUCGGAAGGUGCGGCUGGAUCACC
rnacentral:rRNA from 1 species